rnacentral:rRNA from 1 species
UGGGGAAUUUUGGACAAUGGGGGCAACCCUGAUCCAGCAAUGCCGCGUGUGUGAAGAAGGCCUUCGGGUUGUAAAGCACUUUUGUCCGGAAAGAAAACGUCGUGGUUAAUACCCGUGGCGGCUGACGGUACCGGAAGAAUAAGCACCGGCUAACUACGUGCCAGCAGCCGCGGUAAUACGUAGGGUGCAAGCGUUAAUCGGAAUUACUGGGCGUAAAGCGUGCGCAGGCGGUCCGCUAAGACAGAUGUGAAAUCCCCGGGCUUAACCUGGGAACUGCAUUUGUGACUGGCGGGCUAGAGUAUGGCAGAGGGGGGUAGAAUUCCACGUGUAGCAGUGAAAUGCGUAGAGAUGUGGAGGAAUACCGAUGGCGAAGGCAGCCCCCUGGGCCAAUACUGACGCUCAUGCACGAAAGCGUGGGGGAGCAAACAGGAUUCAGAUACCCUGGUAGUCCACGCCCUAAACGAUGUCAACUAGUUGUCGGGUCUUCAUUGACUUGGUAACGUAGCUAACGCGUGAAGUUGACCGCCUGGGAGUACGGUCGC